rnacentral:rRNA from 1 species
AUUGAACGCUGGCGGCAGGCCUAACACAUGCAAGUCGAGCCGUUGAAGGGAGCUUUCUCCUGGAUUCAGAGGCGGACGGGUGAGUAAUGCCUAGGAAUCUGCCUUGUAGUGGGGGAUAACGUCCGGAAAGGGGCGCAAAUACAGUAUACGUUCUGAGGGAGAAAGUGGGGGUUCUUCGGACAUCACGCUAUUAGAUGCGCUUAGGUCGGAUUAGCUAGUGGGUGGGGUAAGGGCCUACCAAGGCGACGAUCCGUAACUGGACUGAGAGGAUGCUCAGUCACACUGGAACUGAGACACGGCCCAGACUCCUACGGGAGGCAGCAGUGGGGAAUAUUGGACAAGGGGCGAAAGCCUGAUCCAGCCAUGCCGCGUGUGUGAAGAAGGUCUUCGGAUCGUAAAGCACUUUAAGUUGGGAGAAAGGUCAGUAAGGUAAUACCUUGCUGUUUUGACGUUACCAACAGAGUAAGCACCGGCUAACUUCGUG